rnacentral:rRNA from 1 species
CUAAUACAUGCAAGUUGAGCGCUGAAGGUUGGUACUUGUACCGACUGGAUGAGCAGCGAACGGGUGAGUAACGCGUGGGGAAUCUGCCUUUGAGCGGGGGACAACAUUUGGAAACGAAUGCUAAUACCGCAUAAAAACUUUAAACACAAGUUUUAAGUUUGAAAGAUGCAAUUGCAUCACUCAAAGAUGAUCCCGCGUUGUAUUAGCUAGUUGGUGAGGUAAAGGCUCACCAAGGCGAUGAUACAUAGCCGACCUGAGAGGGUGAUCGGCCACAUUGGGACUGAGACACGGCCCAAACUCCUACGGGAGGCAGCAGUAGGGAAUCUUCGGCAAUGGACGAAAGUCUGACCGAGCAACGCCGCGUGAGUGAAGAAGGUUUUCGGAUCGUAAAACUCUGUUGGUAGAGAAGAACGUUGGUGAGAGUGGAAAGCUCAUCAAGUGACGGUAACUACCCAGAAAGGGACGGCUAACUACGUGCCAGCAGCCGCGGUAAUACGUAGGUCCCGAGCGUUGUCCGGAUUUAUUGGGCGUAAAGCGAGCGCAGGUGGUUUAUUAAGUCUGGUGUAAAAGGCAGUGGCUCAACCAUUGUAUGCAUUGGAAACUGGUAGACUUGAGUGCAGGAGAGGAGAGUGGAAUUCCAUGUGUAGCGGUGAAAUGCGUAGAUAUAUGGAGGAACACCGGUGGCGAAAGCGGCUCUCUGGCCUGUAACUGACACUGAGGCUCGAAAGCGUGGGGAGCAAACAGGAUUAGAUACCCUGGUAGUCCACGCCGUAAACGAUGAGUGCUAGAUGUAGGGAGCUAUAAGUUCUCUGUAUCGCAGCUAACGCAAUAAGCACUCCGCCUGGGGAGUACGACCGCAAGGUUGAAACUCAAAGGAAUUGACGGGGGCCCGCACAAG